rnacentral:rRNA from 1 species
UACGAAGGUGGCAAGCGUUACUCGGAAUUACUAGGCGUAAAGGGCAGGUAGGCGGUUUGAUGAGUCUGUUGUGAAAGCUCCCGGCUUAACUGGGAGAGGUCAACAGAUACUGUCGAACUUGAGUAUGGGAGAGGGUACUGGAAUUCCUGGUGUAGCGGUGAAAUGCGCAGAGAUCAGGAGGAACACCAAUGGCGAAAGCAGGUACCUGGACCAUUACUGACGCUCAGCUGCGAAAGCUAGGGGAGCAAACAGG